rnacentral:rRNA from 1 species
AGGGUUUGAUCAUGGCUCAGAACGAACGCUGGCGGCAGGCCUGACACAUGCAAGUCGAGCGCUACCUUCGGGUGGAGCGGCGGACGGGUUAGUAACGCGUGGGAACGUACCCAGAUCUAAGGAAUAGCCACUGGAAACGGUGAGUAAUACCUUAUACGCCCUUCGGGGGAAAGAUUUAUCGGAUUUGGAUCGGCCCGCGUUAGAUUAGAUAGUUGGUGGGGUAAUGGCCUACCAAGUCUACGAUCUAUAGCUGGUUUUAGAGGAUGAUCAGCAACACUGGGACUGAGACACGGCCCGGACUCCUACGGGAGGCAGCAGUGGGGAAUCUUGGACAAUGGGCGCAAGCCUGAUCCAGCCAUGCCGCGUGAGUGAUGAAGGCCUUAGGGUCGUAAAGCUCUUUCGCCAGAGAUGAUAAUGACAGUAUCUGGUAAAGAAACCCCGGCUAACUCCGUGCCAGCAGCCGCGGUAAUACGGAGGGGGUUAGCGUUGUUCGGAAUUACUGGGCGUAAAGCGUACGUAGGCGGAUUAGUCAGUCAGAGGUGAAAUCCCAGGGCUCAACCCUGGAACUGCCUUUGAUACUGCUAGUCUUGAGUUCGAGAGAGGUGGGUGGAAUUCCAAGUGUAGAGGUGAAAUUCGUAGAUAUUUGGAGGAACACCAGUGGCGAAGGCGGCUCACUGGCUCGAUACUGACGCUGAGGUACGAAAGUGUGGGGAGCAAACAGGAUUAGAUACCCUGGUAGUCCACACCGUAAACGAUGAAUGCCAGUCGUCGGGCAGUAUACUGUUCGGUGACACACCUAACGGAUUAAGCAUUCCGCCUGGGGAGUACGGUCGCAAGAUUAAAACUCAAAGGAAUUGACGGGGGCCCGCACAAGCGGUGGAGCAUGUGGUUUAA